UGAUAAACCUCGUCUCUACUAAAAAUACAAACAUUAGCUGGACAUGGUGCCACGUGCCUGUAAUCCCAGCUACUGGGAAGGGAAGGUUGAGGCAGGAGAAUCACUUGAACCCAGGAGGCAGAGGUUACAGUGAGCUGAGCAUCUGGGCAACAGAGUGAGAUUCCAUCUCCAAAAAAAAAAGGGGGUUUCAAGACAUGCCACUGUAGGUUAUGCAGGGAAGAGAUGAGAGAUUCAGGACCAUCAGGACAGACAACCAUAUUGCUCCAUUCCCCACCCCACAUACACCCUGACUCUCUUCAUCAGGGCCAGGGGCCACCUGGUCUUACAGUGGUUCCAUAUCCAUUGUUCAUGAUCCCAGCUUCCACUGAGGGUUCAUCCAGGUGGGCCCCAAGGGGCCUAGAUGUUAAUCCCUGUCAAUCACAUUUUCCACUGCAGGUUCAACUCCAUAUACAAAGAGAACAGCAAGAAAGUGUUUCAAAAGAGGCCAUUCACUAGUGGGCGGCAUUUUACAGUCUAUGUGGUAACGUGGACUGGUUGGGGGGUGCUUCCAUUUCACCCCCCUCAGGGCUCAUAGGUGUUAGGGGACCUGCUAAAGGUCACCCUGGAGUAACUGUCAGAGCCACAGUCUACAGGAUGGCCUCCUUACCCAGUGCUUUGGAUGUCUGCAGCUGUUUUGAAACUUCAUGCAAACCGGUGGGUGCUGCAGAAUUGGCCUCUUCCAGCCACAGCAGUAAUCCUGUUACGUUCUCUCUGUGAGUCUGGGAAACAUACAGACACUGGUUGAAACUUCAGCUUUGUCAUUUACCAGCUGUGCUAUCACAGGUAAGUUUUUUGUUUUCUUUUUGUUUUUUUGAGACAGGGUCUCAAUCUGUUACCCAUGCAGGACUGCAGUGACAUGAUCGCUGCUCUUACUGCAGCCCUGACCUCCCGGGCUCGAGUGAUCCUUCCACCUCAGCCUUCUAAGUAAUUGGGACUACAGGUGUGCGCCAGCAUGCCUGGCUAAUUUUUUUUUUUUGUAUGUUGCUUAGGCUGGUCUGAAACUCCUGGGCUCAAGCAGUUCUCCCACAUUGGCUUCCCAAAGUGCUGGGAUUACAGGUCUGAACCACCGAACCGGGCCACAGAGUGGCAAUGUGGUUGGCAUGACCCAGUCACAGCACCCCGGGACUCUUGUCCAGCAUUGGCGCUCUAUAUGCAGAGCCCUUUCACUCAGCCUGGCAGCAUCUGAUCAGCGUCGAAGCCCAGUGGCUUGAGGAAUAAAUAUAAACAGUGCAGAGACUAAAAGCAGAGCUCUGGUCCAGCACAUCUACUCCCAAGCUCUGCCACCCUGGACAAGCUCCUUCCCCUCUCUGAGCCUCAGUCUCCUCCCUGUAAUACUGUAAGAACCCUGUCCACAGUUGUGUGCCGAUAUACUGAAUGUAAAGCACCUAAAAGCCUGCCAGGACGUGGCAGGCACUCAAGAAGCAUUACUAGAUUCAUUUCACACAUGGAGAAACUGAGUCCCAGAGUGGGAAAGUGACUCAGGCAAAGAUUCCCUCACAGAACUGGGGAUAAAAAUCCAGAUCUUCAAGCUCCCAGUCAGUGCCUAAUUACUACUUUCUCAUUCUUGGAAUUUGUAAUUAUUUCAUGACAAGUGUGCUUUUGGCUGCUGGAGGGACAGAGCUUCAGAGGUUGUGAGCCUCCCCUGGCUCAGCCUGACCCAGAACCAGCUCACUCAUGAAACUACCCUCUCUUGAAGAGAAUAGGAGUUGUGGGGAGGAAGAACAUAACCCAGAGGCCAGAGAACGUGGAGGCCAGGGUUGGUGUAACUGUGUAGGCUCUUCCACAUACUAGCUGUGUGAACUUGGACAAGUGACUUAACUUCUCUUCUCCGUGUCUGCUAACAGUCCCUACACAGAUGGUUGUUGUGAGGCUUAGUUACCAUACAAAAUUCUUAGAUUAGUGCCUGGCACAUAAUAAUAACCACAGCCCCCAAAUGCUAGUUGUCAUUCAUUAUCUUAACAUACCAUGUGAAGGUUGUGUUCUCUUACAUUCUAUAGCCCUCUGUGUUUUAAUAUAAAAUUGUGAUGUCUCUCUUUCUUUUAUUUGUAUUUUUUGAGUAAAACGGACAUUUCAGAAAGAUGUACCAGAUUUUUAUCACAUGGCUUUGUGAGACCCGACAGCCAGCCAACAUCACACACAGUCACAUGUGUGCAUGCAUGAGCACACAUGCAUGCAGACACACACACUUUGAGAAGGCCAUGCUACGCCGGGCUGCUUCCCAAAUGGGCUGAAACAAGUCCUCUUGCCCUGAAGAACCGCCUGUCCCCUCUCCCGCCCACUCAUCGCGCUCCGUGGAGUGAGGCAGGAAAGGGUGAUUGGCUCACAGCAGCAGCAUAGCUCUUAGUAAACCUGACUUGGGAGAAAGGCCUGGCUCCAGCUCCUAGCCCAAGUGUCAGAGCCUGGGUCCCAGCACUGGCUCGAUGCCCUCUUUUGCUGUGCAACCCUGGCCAUGUAACUUCACCUCUCUGAGCCCCAGCUUUGUCAUUUGUGAAAGGGAGCUAACUGUUCCUACCUCUCAGGGUUAUGAGGAUUUGACAGACACAUGGAAAGUGCCUGGCACUUCGUUGUUGCUCCAUAAAUGAGAGCUCUCAAAAGUCUGGCUCAUUUUUUAGCUCAGUAAAAGCUAUCUUUCAUAGUCUUUAAUAAAAUGGGGCUGGCCGGGCGUGGUGGCUCACGCCUGUAAUCCCAGCACUUUGGGAGGCUGAGGUGGGUGGAUCACGAGGUCAGGAGAUCGAGACCAUCCUGGAUAACAUGGUGAAACCCCAUCUCUACUAAAAAAAAUACAAAAAAAUUAGCCGGGUGUGGUGGCAGGCGCCUGUAGUCCCAGCUACUCAGGAAGCUGAAGCAGGAGAAUGGCGUGAGCCCAGGAGGCG
rnacentral:lncRNA from 1 species